rnacentral:lncRNA from 10 species
GCCCACCCAUGGCCACCCAUGGACCAGUCAGCUUGUACUUCCUCCCCUCUGAAGCCCACAAAAUCUCUGGAUUCAGUCAGACUCGGGCAGAUGACAGGAUGACCUGCUUGUGGAGAGGAGCUACCCACUCUGGAUCUCCUCUCUGCUGAGGGCUGCACACUCAUUGGGAUGACCUGCCUGCACAUAGAAGCUCCUUCUUCAAAGGAUGGAACUUUAAGGAUGGAACCAAUUGGCUACAAAUCAUUUUAGCUGAUGCACUGAGACAAUUCUGAAGCAAACUGUCUUAUCCUGGAUUUUGUCAGUAACUGGAGUUGAAGGACUUGAAGAUUCUCAAGGAUUGAUCCAGAAUAUGUUCCAGCAAAAACUACAGCAGAGUAACUUUGACAAGAAAAAUGUUCACUUGCUACCUAAGGAGAGUCUCUGUCUCCUGACCUCUGAAUUUCGAAAUCCUCAGCUCUGGCUGCCACGCAGUGGGAACCGAAUGAGUAUGUACUGAAUGGCGAAUCCUAGUUCAGUCACUUGACUAGCUGGGUGACCUUGAGCAAGUAACUUAGCUUCUUGAAGCCUCAGUCUCCUUAUCUAUAAAAUGGGACUCAAAGGCUGAGUCGAGUAUUAAAUGAAAUAAUACACGUAAAGCACAGUGCCAAAAAUCUGGUAAUAACUCCAUCAGUAUAAGGCCACCUUAUUUGCCUUCUUUCACAAUUAUCACCAGAAUUGAAUUAAAAUUCAGAUGUGAUCAUGUCUUGAAAUGUAGAAAGAGUUAUGAAAAUGUAAGACUUACUAAGUUCACUUAUCGAACAUUUUUUGACCACCUACUAUGUGCUAUGCCUUGGACUAGGCUAGAGAUACAACAGUAAACAUCUUGACUAACGGAGAUUAUGCUGCUAUCUUGAAAUUUUGCCUGUUCCCAAAAGCCCCCAGCAUAUUAAUUUUGUUAAAUAUAUAUUCCCUUAUUAUAUAUAUAAAACAUAUAUAUCCU